GUGGGGAAUAUUGGACAAUGGGCGCAAGCCUGAUCCAGCCAUGCCGCGUGUGUGAAGAAGGCCUUCGGGUUGUAAAGCACUUUUGUCCGGGAAGAAAUCUUCCAGGUUAAUACCCUGGGAGGCUGACGGUACCGGAAGAAUAAGCACCGGCUAACUUCGUGCCAGCAGCCGCGGUAAUACGAAGGGUGCAAGCGUUACUCGGAAUUACUGGGCGUAAAGCGUGCGUAGGUGGUUCGUUAAGUCUGCCGUGAAAGCCCCGGGCUCAACCUGGGAAUGGCGGUGGAUACUGGCGGGCUAGAGUGCGGUAGAGGGUGGUGGAAUUCCCGGUGUAGCAGUGAAAUGCGUAGAGAUCGGGAGGAACAUCUGUGGCGAAGGCGGCCACCUGGACCAGCACUGACACUGAGGCACGAAAGCGUGGGGAGCAAACAGGAUUAGAUACCCGAGUAGUCC
rnacentral:rRNA from 1 species